rnacentral:rRNA from 1 species
GUGGGGAAUCUUGCGCAAUGGGCGAAAGCCUGACGCAGCCAUGCCGCGUGAAUGAUGAAGGUCUUAGGAUUGUAAAAUUCUUUCACCGGGGACGAUAAUGACGGUACCCGGAGAAGAAGCUCCGGCUAACUUCGUGCCAGCAGCCGCGGUAAUACGAAGGGGGCUAGCGUUGCUCGGAAUUACUGGGCGUAAAGGGCGCGUAGGCGGACAGCUUAGUCAGAGGUGGAAGCCCAGGGCUCAACCUUGGAAUUGCCUUUGAUACUGGCUGUCUUGAGUUUGGGAGAGGUGAGUGGAACUCCGAGUGUAGAGGUGAAAUUCGUAGAUAUUCGGAAGAACACCAGUGGCGAAGGCGACUCACUGGCCCAAUACUGACGCUGAGGCGCGAAAGCGUGGGGAGCAAACAGGAUUAGAAACCCUGGUAGUCC